GACGAACGCUGGCGGCGUGCUUAACACAUGCAAGUCGAACGGAAAGGCCCUGCUUUUGUGGGGUGCUCGAGUGGCGAACGGGUGAGUAACACGUGAGUAACCUGCCCUUGACUUUGGGAUAACUUCAGGAAACUGGGGCUAAUAUCGGAUAGGAGCUCCUGCUGCAUGGUGGGGGUUGGAAAGUUUCGGCGGUUGGGGAUGGACUCGCGGCUUAUCAGCUUGUUGGUGGGGUAGUGGCUUACCAAGGCUUUGACGGGUAGCCGGCCUGAGAGGGUAACCGGCCACAUUGGGACUGAGAUACGGACCAGACCGCUACGGGAGGCAGCAGUGGGGAAUAUUGCACAAUGGGCGGAAGCCUGAUGCAGCAACGCCGCGUGCGGGAUGACGGCCUUCGGGUUGUAAACCGCUUUCGCCUGUGACGAAGCGUGAGUGACGGUAAUGGGUAAAGAAGCACCGGCUAACUACGUG
rnacentral:rRNA from 1 species